rnacentral:rRNA from 1 species
AUUGAACGCUGGCGGCAGGCUUAACACAUGCAAGUCGAGCGGGGUGAUGGUGCUUGCACUAUCACUUAGCGGCGGACGGGUGAGUAAUGCUUAGGAAUCUGCCUAUUAGUGGGGGACAACAUCUCUAAAGGGAUGCUAAUACCGCAUACGUCCUACGGGAGAAAGCAGGGGAUCACUUGUGACCUUGCGCUAAUAGAUGAGCCUAAGUCGGAUUAGCUAGUUGGUGGGGUAAAGGCCUACCAAGGCGACGAUCUGUAGCGGGUCUGAGAGGAUGAUCCGCCACACUGGGACUGAAACACGGCCCAGACUCCUACGGGAGGCAGCAGUGGGGAAUAUUGGACAAUGGGGGGAACCCUGAUCCAGCCAUGCCGCGUGUGUGAAGAAGGCCUUAUGGUUGUAAAGCACUUUAAGCGAGGAGUAGGCUACUCUAGUUAAUACCUAGGGAUAGUGGACGUUACUCGCAGAAUAAGCACCGGCUAACUCUGUGCCAGCCGCCGCCGUAA